CCUGUCUGCUGGGUGAGAGACUUAGCAGCAGCAGCAGCAGCAGCAGCAGAGCAAUCUGACCAAAAGCUUGUCAAUCCUCGGUACUUCCACACUCAAAUUUUCCCAAGUGAGUUGUGAGGGUCAUCAUGCAACAUACAGAGUGAUAUUUUGAAAAAAGACAAGAAAAGAGAAGUGAUAAUGGAGACUUGAACAGCCACCAACACCAAGCUGAAGGAGGCUAGCAGCAGCCAGCCACCACUAGACCUCAGCAGGCAAGCCACCACCAAAGCUCCAGGAGUCCAGCCAACACCAGAAGACCAGCUUUCAUCCCAGGAGGACAGCAGCCACCAGGACCGGCAGGCCUCAACCACCACCGGGCCCAGUAGGCCUCAACCACAACCAGGCCCAGGAGGACAGCCACCACCGGGCCCAGUAGGCCUCAACCACCGCCAGGCCCAGGAGGCCAGCAGCCACUACCAGGUCGACAAAAAGUGAGUGAUCCAUGUUCUUUAGAAUAGUCUCCACCUUCCUUAGUGUAGAUCUCUCCACCAGUUUGUUCAGACAUCUUGCAUCUUUGUGUUUGAGUGUCCUCCCCAGCAGACUGCAGCGUAGAACAGAACAGCCACCACAGACUGAUAGAACAUCUGCAGCGUCUUACUACAGAUGUCACUGAUAGAUUAUGAAUUUUGAUAUUUUUGCAUCUCAGCUUUACAUGAUGUUAAGAACCAUACACCCAAGAUUACAGAGCUGACAUAGUGAUGUGUGUAUAGUCUGAUUUUUCACCUCAGUCUUUCACUUCAGCAGCUAACACAGGGUAUUCUGAUAAGGUCCACAGAUCUUGUUGACCAUGGAUUGUGUCGUUAUGCUAAAAAAGCUGUUUCCUUAUACAACUCCUGAAUGUUGGAGAAAGUUGGAAAAAGAAAACAGUUGAGUUCACUUGAGUUGGUGACUGUUGCAGAUUGCAGCUUUAUGUAAAUUGCUGGUAUAUUUGAUUUCCCAAAGAUCUAGAGGUGCUGUUGUUGUCAAGUCUUACUCAUGACAAUAAGUCGUUUUCUUAGUUUGUGAGUAAUAGGUGACUUUGGAUACCUCUGCUCUGUGGUUCACAGUUUUAUCUGUUUUUUUCCCUCCUUGCAUUGAGCUAUCUUUUCUUUCUGUAAACCAUGAUCCAUUAAGGUGUUCAAGAUGCUUGUUAUUUUAUGAGGUCAAAUUUUUGACUUGAGGCCUCAGCUCAGUUCACUUCUCUGUGUGUGUAGUGUCCACAAAUAAUCAAAUUCAGAUGGGAUUUCAUGAGGACAAAGUGCUGAAAAUUUCUGGGUGGCACAAACAUUUAAACAUUAAACCUAUCUUAGGUUGGGUCUUGAUAAUUCAUCAAACAAUGAGCAUGGUCUUGACCUGCACUUUUUCUUUGGAAAGCGUCCUGGGAUGACGACUGUUGUGAAUUGGCGCGAUAUAAAUAAAAUUUGAUUGAUUGAUUGAUUGAUUUAAAUAAAGUUGAGCAAAAUUGGGCCAAAGUCCGCUCAAUUAGCUAGCACACCUCCCCUCUUGUAUCUACUGGUGGUUUCCCAAUAAAGGUGAGCAGCAUUUAUUGUGGCUUAUACAGUUACUGGUGUUAUGAAACCCUUAAAACCUCAUCACGUGAGAGUAAACUAUGGCUAACUGGACAUGCUAUACUACCCACAUUGAAUGGUAGUUGGCACAGCAUCUGGAUGAAAAACCUAACCAUAGUCUAGCCUUGAAAGAAAGUUCUAGCUGUAGAAAAUGAAUCUCAUUAAAAAGGAUAAUCACUUAUAUAAAAGCACACUUGAUUUUUAAAUAUUCAUCAAUUGAUUAUACAACCUUCAAACUGAAACUCCUUACAUUCUCUUAAAGGCUGCUAUGAAUAGAAGUUUUCUACUCAUAGUCUCUUUAGGCCAUGAAACAUCCUGAAAUUAUGAGCCAGCAAAUUAUUGAGAGUGGAACAAAGCAUAACAAAGUGUAAGAAUGUGAGGGUUUGUAAAUGGUCUCAUUGAUGGAUCUCUGCCUUCACCCAUGUCAAAACAAAGCCAGAACUGAAUGGGCCUCCUCAUGACCCCCUGGCCUCUGUUCCACGUUCAGGACGUUCAGGAAGGCCUGAGGUUUGGAGGUUUCUAACCACAACGACCUUCUCACUCCUUGUUGCUUUAUUUCUAAGCUUUUUUUAUCCAAAAUGAGACAUGGGAUAAAUUACGCUGACUAUGAAGGGCCCUCUUGUUCACUUAAAAUAAUAAGGAAAGGAUACCCUGGUGGAGAACUUUGCAGUAAUUUCACCAGUUAGUGUGUGAGUGUGUCUCGGCUAAGGAGUUGGCUGAGGGGGACUGAGCAGAGAGAAGUAGCAGGACAGCCUGUCUCAUUUCCUGCAUGAUGGAUGAGCCUAUUAGCUGUCCAGUGUUAGCCCAAGGUUAGCCUUACACCUCGGUCCCUUGAUACACACACACUAAUAAUUAUGGAAAAUGAGGAGACAUGGAAAGAUGAAUUGCAGAGGUGACCAAAAACCCCAAAAUGUUUAAAUGAAAAGUUACAGACAUAACCGGUGGGCUAUUAUAGAGUAAUGGAAUUGGUUGCUAUGUGAACAUAUGCAGACUAUUUUAAUUAUCAACCAAUUCUCCAAAACUCCUGUGAUAGAUGAGCGCUUCUGUUUAAUUCUGCUUUCCUGUUUUUCUGCUUCUAUAUUCAACUUAAGUCCGUACUUUAAGGAUUGUGAAAGUAUUCCUAAAUAAAGUUGAGUAGAUUCAAAAUAAUAAUGUGACACUGCAAUCCUUUGGUUUUGAUGUACGCAGUCUAUCACACCCAGAUGAUUUCACAGAAAAUGACUUGCAUACUGAACAAAGUUAAUACUCUAAUUCUGUUUUACACAUUUUUCUAUAAGAUUAUAUUGUAAUAUCAUAAUUUCUCACCAAAGAAACAAAAAGGGCAAAAACUAAAGAAGUUAAAGGUCAAUAGAAAAAGUACGUAAAGUAAAAAGUACCAAAACUGGUCUGUGUUAACAGAUGGCAAACAUAUAAUCAAAUGAAAACCUGCUAACAGGAUGAAAAUCUAAUUGACUAAUUGAGUUUUGAUCUGGAAAUUUUGGAAAAAAAUAAAUCCAAUGCAAAGCACUGUUGCACUUACUGUAUAUUAUAUUAUAUUAUAUUAUACUAUAUUAUGAAUUGUGGGGUCUUUUCACCCAUACAGCACUCUUCAAGGUUUAUUUAUUUGAUAGUACACCACCAUUUUUGUAGAUGUUUGUUCUUACCUGAUGAAAAUUUGAAAAAGCCAGUUUCAUUUUAGUAGCCUUAAAAAAGUCUUCACAUCCAAAAAACCCUGCAAAACCAGUGAAACUUGAUUUUUCAAAACUCAACCAAAAUCCAUUUUUAAUGAACCAGGACUCUUUAUUGAAUUUCCCUUUAGGGAUCAAUAAAGCUCUGCUUCUUCUCUUUUCUGAUUUAAAACAUAUUAGCAUGGUACAUCGGCUACAUUCCCAUUCUCAUGCAUAUUUAUUAGCACCCCUCACCUCCAUGCACAUUUCCACAUUAACCCUACCCUCUGGUGUUGAAUGUUUCUGAAGGAGUCCACCUGAUUCCCUCAUCCAUCCACAGGUUAAAAAUAGGACUCAUUUGACGCACCAGUAUAGAGGCUCACAGGGUGGGCCAACGGGGGGCGGGCUGGGUUUUCCAGGAGGCGAUGGAGGGUCAAAGAUAGUUGAUAUCCUUGUGCUUGUCCUCUCACUGCUCUCUGUCUCUAUAAGCCCCUCUGCCUCUCUGCUGCCAGCUUUCUCUCACAUGCAGUUCUGCCCUCACUUUCUUUUCUUUUUUUUUUUCUUUCUUUCUUCGACUCUUUCUCUCUGUCGGCCCACCAUGUGUCCCCCCUCACUCACUCGGUGCAACAUGUGUCACUCGCACUCUCUCUGGCAUGUGCUCUGUCUCUCAUGCACUCUCUCGUCCUCUCUCUUUCUCUCUCUCCAGCUGACAGCAUGUAAUUGAAAUGGUCAAACGCAUGAAAACAUGACAAAUGGUUUGAGGUAUUUCUGCUUCAUCAUCACCAUUGCAGAGUCUCUCUCUCUCUUUCUCUUUCUCUCUCUUUCUCUCUCUCCCCCCUCCCUUCAGCUGGGGCUCGGUUGACAGCUUGUAACCGAACUGCUCCAACACAUGGCAUAUGGUACAAGAUAUUUGUGCUUCAUCAUCAUAAUUAUGAUGGACCCUGACUUUUUUCCCUCCCCCUGACUUAUCUUGGCACUUGGCUGCAGCAAAGAAUGAGUCAACGUGUUAAUGUAUGAAUGAUGAUUCUUUGGCCUGCAAAUGUUAUAUUUCCCAACAGAGAGCCCCUGAGAAACGGGAUACACAGAUUAACAAGAUGAAAGAAGAUCAACUAGAUUAAACGCAGAGUCUAAGUGUACAGGGAACAAGAAAUUGAUUUUAAACCCUGUCUUAAGACAGAGUAUAUCAUUUUUGGCUCACGGUGUGUGAUCACUGCUGAUCCACCUCUUAAACUAAACAGGCCUGGAGGAUCUAACUUCCUGGUGCCAUGUUAGAAGCUUCUUCUGGUAAGAAAACAGAGAUAAAAAAGUGAUUAGAGACAGAACGGGACAGGAGGAACCAUGCUGGGCUGCAGGUCUGGGCUUGAUCACAAAGUGUCAGGCCUGACAGUUAACACGACACACUGAUAACACUGGAUGGUCACUCAGUGUCACUCAGGUCGACAAACCUCACGUGACAUGAUGUUUCUUCACAACAGGAGUGUGGUGUUAUUUCUGGAAAGACUUGUUAUUAAUGUAUGAAUUCCAACUUAUCAUAUGUGUUAAACUUACUGCAGACUUCACAGUUGGUUUGAAAAUAAAACAUAGCAGACAUGGGGUUGGGUCAAAAGGAGGGUUAGAUGUUUUGAAAAAUGAGCUUUAGACACGCUCACCAGUGGAUUUUGUAACUGCUCAUAAGGACUAGGAAAGCACUUUAUCUCCUGUUUCAAGCCUCUCAUUAACUCAAGGCUAAAAUGAAAAUGAUUGAGUUUUACUUCUCAGGUUUUAAAGCUGUUUCCUAAACACUUGAUUAAGAAAUCACUGCUACUUGAGUUAAGUCAGGGCCACCGUUCUUGAACAAUGCUUUACUUUUUUACAUGUUUUUUUCUUUUUGUAUAUUGACAUUAGAUGUCACGUCUCUGCUUAGGAAGGUCACAUUCCUGGUGCCACUUGUUCAUCUGCAGUGUCACUGAAAGAUAAGGGUAACACAAGUUGUGGAAAGAGUAUAGCAUGGACCAAAGACAAACCAUCAAGGUUUUGGAUCAGACUUUAAACAAAAUCCAAAAAUAGCAGAAAUUAUAUAUGCGUGUAGUAUAUAAAAUAAAAACAUAUUUUGUGAAAUGAGAAGUAUAUGGAGUGUUUGCAACAUAGAAAAAUGUUCAAAAUAACAGAGUUGGUGGCACUUCUUUACAAUAAACUGAACAAUUUACUUUCUCCCAAAAAGCUGAAUUUUUUUACAUUACAUUUCGAUAAGGAGGCUUAAACAAUCAUCUGUUUUUACUACGAAUGAAGGCCACACAAAACAUUUGGAAAAGUCUUCAAUUUCAUUAAAUAAUGUGUAAGCUACCAGGUAGUUUUUUUACUCAUAUUUGAAUCUACCUAAAAUAAAAAGCCUUCACUUUAGAGGCUUUUCUUUCAAACAGUUACUUCACAGUACAUUGUAAUGCAAUAAAACUGUUGCACACAGUGAGCCAAGUGGUUCCUAAUAUUCCCCCUCAUCACAUGUUUAUCACAUUGCUUUGUCUAUUUGUGCUGUGAAGUCCUUCUCUGAUCAAAGUAUCAGUUGAUCCAGGGUCCAAAUAAAGAGCUGUGGUUAGACAGUCAUUUGUGUCUUUUCGUCUCACGAUGCACUACAAAGCAUCACAUGCAAAGUUAAAUCAUGUCGUCCCAGUUUUAUUGCUGCUAACUCAUGUUGAUAAUGACUUGAUAACACAACACUAAAGACAAUUACACGCACAGGUAUGUCAGAAGGGAACGCAAAGUCUGGACUAUCAACAACUGCUUCCUGCUGCCAAAUACAUAAUCAAGUUGUUUUGGUAUCUCCAGGUAUCUAAAGCAGCCAUCUUUCAGCUAUCCCAAGCAGCUAUCUUAUGUCUCUGUCCUCUCCGACAUCAGACAGGGAUUGGACAGUGAGAGGCAGACAACACUAGAUACGCUGAUAGUGCCGGGGUCUUGUUUUCCCAUGUGCGUUGCCAGGAUGUGAUGUAUAAAUAGGCACAGAGCUGUUUGUGUGAGUGCCGGCUCAAGUUAUGUGGCUAUAGCUUGAUAGGGGCUGCUCAUGGCUGCGAGGCCUCGGCUGGGCGGGCAGCUAUGAUGGGUCGGACUGUCGGUGUCUUCUCAUGUCCUGAGAUCUGAGAGGCCUCUCCCAGGAGGUGGUGACGGGCAGCAGAAGGGCACGGAUUCAGAGUAUUUUGGUGUUAAUUGAGCUUAUUGGCCUGCUAUUCACAGCCUUGACAUGUGAUUGAUUUAAAGGCCAGUGUGAGAGUGCGACAGGGCUGACCUCUCUGGUGGCGGCUUCUCAGAUAUGGCUUCAGGACUGCACAGCUGUGAGGAAUAAUCCUCUCCCCUCACUUUUUUCAAAGAAGAGCAGGCAAUCUGCCCUCCUUCAGUAUUUUAUUAGUUUUUUCCAUUAACAGAGACGAAAGAGGGGAGAAGGGUGAGAGAGAAAUGUAAGGGCUUGGUAGGAGGGCUGAGACUUGAACCUUUGAACCUUCAAAAGGGUUUCCAAACUGGUGCACGAGUUGCACUAAUAGCUAGUACACAUUUCGCAGCACCUGUUUCUCCUGUUUCAUGUUCAUGUGCAAAGAUUAAAAACUUUAAAGCAAUGAUGGAAAAUUUUUCCAAAUUUUCCACAUCUAGCUACAUGAUUACAUUAAUACCAGUUUCAUGAUUGAAGACAACCAGAAAGAUUUUGCUAGUGAGGGACUCUUCCGCCCAGGACAUUUUUUUUUUUCUUUUGGGAUAAAAAUUACUCAAAUAAACACUUCGAUCAGACACUCAACCCUUAUUACCAUCAUUGUGUCCCACUUUUUUCGUUUUACGAUGGUGGGCACUUUUAGUCACACUGGUAUAAUGUCAUACUAUUAAGGGUACGAUUGGCAAUUUAAGCAUGUACACACUAGGGUGACCAUAUUCUGAAUCCCCAAAAAGACAAAACGACUACACGGGGGUGGAGUCUUGGAGUCCUGCGUAGUAAAUUUUGAGUUUUUCUGGUCGGGUCGAGUGUUUUUUAUGCGCCUCAAACUCAGUAAGUCCAUGCGACACAAACUCAAAACAAAACCCAGGACACUUGAAGGAUUUAAUGUACGGGUAAAAGAAAACAUAUGGUCACCCCAGUACACACCAGAUCAGAAUCAAUUAUACAGCAUGUAAAUAGAAAACACAAAAUUUUCCAUGGGAAUGAUUUUUAGUAGCCCUUUAACGCCUGAAAACCACAAAUUAUGGACAGAAAAUUAAAAAAAUUUUGGAGCUAAAAAGUUUUACCACUGAAAACCAAAAAAAUCAAAAUGUCCUUAAAAUUUAACAAAUCUAUUAUUUAUCUCAUUUGAUACAUUUGAUGUUUUUGGAAACUAAUAAACUAAAAGAGGACAUUUUUAUCAUUUAUCUGACUGUAUCCGGGUGCUUUUUUUAGAAAUUUGUUGAUCAUAUUGAUUUGAUAGAAGUAUAUAAAAAUAUGUAUCAAAUAUGAUAGAAAGGCAUUAAAGGGUUAAAAUAGCAAAAUGAAGUCAUGUAAACACACCUGGAGAAAACAAUACCACCUAAAAGCACCUCUCUUAUUUACAUGUUAAUAUUAGGUUUGGCUUGUAACAGUCUGCUGCUGUCAAAUUUGCAGCAAAAAGCACCUGUAGUACUCCAGCAUGUUAUAUACAGUGAGUCUGAUACUUUCAGACAGCAGAUGAAGCAAAGUCAACAUAAAACGUUGUAAAACAACCUCUAGAGAGGACGAGGCAGCUCAUUCCUUCCUGUCUACAAGGUUUAAAUGCUAAGCUAAGCUAACAGGCUGCUGUCUAUGUUUUAUUUCUCAGACAUUAGAGAAGCAUUAAUCUCCCUGGGCAAAAAUAUGGAACUCUUAAACCAAAUCCCAAAACCCAAAUACCUCACCCCUUCUCUCAGUAUGAUUUCAAAUAGCAAGAAUGCAGAACUUUUCCUGGGCAUGUUUGACAUAGAAGUAAACCUUUGUAUGUUUUUCCAUUCUGUAAGUGCAGUCUCUAAAGCUGAUUGACAGGCCUUGGCAAAAUAAACGGCAACUGCAAGUGUUAUUUCAAGUCAGAUAUGCUACUUGUUCCUUUAACCUUGCUCACUCCACCAACCCCCUCAGUCCAUUUUUAGUCCUUCCAGUCCAGCCCGGCUGACACUCUGAAGUCGUUCACUAGCUGCACCUCGACACAUAGUGAUAUAUAGUCAAUCCCAGCUCCCUCUGAUGCAAGACACAGAGAAAUCAUACGCACAGGAAGUAGAAUUUAAAAUCUCCUCAAGUUAUAUAAUUUCAGUAAACAGAUAUUGGCUCAUCUUAAAUCCUCUCGGAGAAAUUCAAACUAUUUCAAAAAUAAAACAUCAUUGUUUAGUUCUCCCUUCCCCAAAAACGUUAUCUCUAAAUAUUUCUAAAUCCUCUGACCCCACUUUCCCUCAGUGCAAAGCCUCAGCCAUUCAAAACACCCCCACCCCUCUCUGCUCUGGCUGUAUGACCCUGCAGUAGUAUUGCUUUCAACUACAUUGCUCCCCAAGGACACCCGAGAGUGGACCUGAGCGUGCCCAGAAACUUCAGCCUUUAAAAACAAAGCACAGACAUUUUACUGUUCCAAACCGAGCCAUUCAGCAUCACCUCUUCCAGUGCAAACACCCGCAUAUCGCACACAAGACAUGCAUAAACAGACACACAUCAUUAGUUUGUUUCAUUUUCUUUCACAUGAUUUAGGAGUAUAAUGUUCCUCCAAAUAUCCCAUAUUUGUUGAACUCUUUACUUUGACCUCUUUGUUUUCCACAGAUUUAUCUUUUUACACAAACACUUUGCACACUGUUGAUGCGUGAUAAAUCCCUCUUACAGGAACAAUGUCUCACAGAAAAUCCUCUGAAAAUGUUUCCUCUAGUUGGUACCUCACAUUCAGCACAUACUUACAGUCUUGCAGCAGAACCACAGUGUGUUGACUUAAUGAAAAGUAUGAAUAAACAUCCUGGAGUUGACACACAGUUGUACUCUAAAAGUUAAAUAUGGACCCUUCACGCUAGUCGGAGGGACUGUGAGAAAACUUUAUCACAAAUCUUCCUCGCUCUUCCCAUUGAGGACGAUUCAGAGUAAACAUCUGUAACUCUAUUUUUGUAUUUCUCUGUUUGUUUUUAGUUGAUGAUUCAGCUGCAGGACUGAAACCCUACAGACCUCUUUCCCACAAGAGCAAUUUUGAACUUAUGUCACAGUCAGGGUGGGAUAGUUCAGAGCAAGGCCAGCUGUUGUGCACCAACUGUUGAGCCAUCAGUUCUCAGCAAACUAAUAAUAUUAUCAUCUCAUGAUAGACAUAUAUCUGCAGAGUUUAUCCUUAUUAAGUGGUUUUAAAUUUACCAGAUAUGAAAUAUAAAUCAAGCACAGAGAAACUUCAAUGUAGUUGAAUCUGAAAAUAACAUUUUUGCUGGAGAGGCAGAUGCAAUCAAAUCUCACUUUUAACCACUUCAGUUUCACAGUCCUGGUCUUUUUUAUCAUAUCUGCUAUACAAAGACUUUCUGCUGUGUAUUGAGAGACAAAAUCAUCUGACUGAAAGGGGUCUGUCAUUCAUGCAGUAGUCACACACAUUCACUAAAUCCCAAAAAAUUAACCGCAGCAGGUGUUGGUGGAGAUAUUUGAAAUAUCUGAAAAAUGUGUGACCCGAAUGCAACAAAUGUGCCCCCUAAAUGAAGCUGCUUUAUCCCAAGCAGCAACCUCCGAUCUUGAAAAAUGAAACUAAUACGAAAGUACUAAAAACCUCAGAUCCUCGAGUGCCUGCUUGGGGCUGGAUACAUCUGGUUAUUAGCCUACUGUGUAUGCUCUGCACUCUUUGCUGCUCAUUCUUGUUCUUUUCCAUUCAGUAUUCAUUCACACUUUACAUCCUUUUGUUUUACAGCUAGCAUAAAUACAGGCCCCCCCAAAAAAAGGAUUCAAAAAUUCCUUUUCCAACCUCAAAGGACACCCCCUACCAAAUCCAACAGGGAGCACUUAACAAAGUGAGGGGACAUGUGUGAAUUAUUUCUCUGCAGAGGCUCCAAGAAGUUCUGGGUUACCAGUGAGAAAGUACCUAGUAUAACAAGUUUGAAAUCUCCACAGCUUAAAGGUCCUUACACACAGGGAACGACGCAAAUAUAUGACACGAAAUUACGAAAUACUCUGAGGCGAAUUUUGACGCGCCUGACUAUACAUGUCAAGCGCGAUGCGAUUUUGCGACUUUCCAGGGGGGAAAAAAGACACGUCCCCAGUGGAAGCGAGAAGACUGACACAACAGCAGACUGACUGUUUUUCAGUUCUGAUUAGACACUAGUGUUGAGAUGUCUGUCUGUCAUGAUAGCAUGUACUGAGUCGGGGCCAGUACCAGAUAAACACAUUAAACUAUAAUCCAUAAAUGUAAGGUAACAACUGAGACCUAAUGGUGCUGUGACAGCAACGCGAUUGAGUUUUAGACAGUUAAAAGUACAUAUGGUAUGUUGUAUCUGAACAGGUUAGCUUACGAGCUAAAGUUACUUAGCACGGAUGAAAGUUAAAGAAGUUUAGCAAACUGUUAAAGCACACAAACCAUCAUCAAUGAGAAAUCCGACGCUAUGACUCUCCACAAGUUGUCCUUCAGGUCGUUAUUUUUGUAAUGUUUGUGUUUUUUUAUCAAAAAACACUCUGUUCUCCGACACAUAUAAUCAGCCGAUCGGCCAUGUUGGAUAUACCAGUGAAUCAGACACUGAUUCAACAACAUGAAAUCUGAUUGGUCAGAAGUGGACACACAGUAUGCAAAAUUUUAACAAAAAAUCGACCGUGAAACGAAAAAUAAAUGCUGCAAUGUCGCAGGACGGUAAAAUGUCGCUGAUGUGAACGCUUGUAUUGACAGGAUACGGGUUUAAAAAAAAAUAUUGACGUCUGAAAUAAUCGCACGAAAAAAUCGCUUGCGGUGUGAAAAGGACCUUAAGUCUCAACAGUUUGUUGUUUAAAUAGGAAGACGAUAUUCUGAAUCCACAAAAAGAGGACACGUCUACACAGGGGCAGAGUCAAUUUCAAGAUUUUUUCAAGUCAGGUCAAGUGUUUUUUAUGCACUUCUAACUCAGUAAGUCCAUACGACACAUACUCAAAACUUCCAUACAAAACCUCUGACAUUUAAAGGAUUUUAUAAACUCUCCAAGACAAGGCUGGACAGGCCGGACAGGCCGGACAGCCCCUCGAAAAGAGGACAUGUCCGGGUAAAAGAGGACGUAUGAUCACCCUAAUUUAAACAUAAUCACGAGCCUUGCCUGAACAAAACCACUGUUUAAAAUAAGAAAAAUCCUGACAACACUGCCAACAAGAGAUGGUAAAGCAUAUUUCAUUCAACACAACAAUCAUUUGGCAAGUUCUUGAAAUCAUUUUCAGCCACAGAUAGCUACUGUGUAAAACUGGCAGCACUACCUUCAAUAUUGCAUUCGCCCUCUUAAUAGCACAGACAGAAAAAAUGUGAAUUCAUCCAGCAGCCUGGCUCCCACUGUCCACUUUUGGUUUACACUGUAUGGAUUCCUCACUGAGGUGUUGACUGCUAGAUUCAUAAAUACACCAAUGUAGGGUGGAUGUAAGGUUCACACGGCUACACGAAACUACAGUAAUGGUGCUCUGGUCCUUUAACAUAUGUUUAUACCAUAAAACAUACUCUGUAUAUAUAUUUUCACUGUAUAUAUCAUACGCUGUAAGUUAACACAGCUCUGUUUGUGCUGCAAGAACAAGUUAUGAUUUUGUUUAAGUGAUAUUACGCUGCAAAGAAAAGAUCCAUGUCCAUUCACAUGAUUGUUUCGAGGACUAACACCAACUUACAGUCUGGAAACUUCCCAAAUAAUGACAUUGGUGUUUGUCCAAUGAUUUAUAUGUGUCUACGUUUUUUUAUGCUUUUCCUUCUGCAGCAUCACUCACAGUUAUUCCAUCUUUUUUCCAGCUGAGUACCUCCCUUAUUUCUGCUCGAUAUCACACACAUAAACCAACAACAGCACAAGCACAAUUAAAAGUAACUUUAGCCAUUAUGUUUGUGUUAAGUUCACUUCAUAAUUUGUGUAACCUCAUAGGCUGUGUGUCAGUAGCUACAGACAGUCAUCAAACACACAUAAAUAUUUUAAACAAACCUUUAUAAAAUGUUGUGGUUGUGAAAUAGCUUCAAGAUCAUCAUUGUCCAGUAAAACUGAUAUUGUAAGGACGAGAAAGUAGUGUUAUUCUCACUACCUGACAAGGGCUGUAAAGGACAUUAUCUCAUUUCAAAACAGUGAGGAUGAGGAACACAGAUGUACAAAGGUGAUGAAUCAAGCCCAUUCACUCAGUCACCUAAUAGCACUACAUAAAAUUGCAUAACGGUGAAACUGAGACAUUUAGUGCACACUGUCCUCUCAUUACAGAAUAUAACAAAUUUGACUCAUGGAUUUUCAGAAUGAUCGGGGUCAUUCAUAGAGACAUUAUAGCUCUCAGGUCAUGAUUAGAAAACAAGAAAAACUACAAAUCCAACUGUUGUUAGUGUUCACUCGUCUCUGGUGUCUGCUCAUUCCUCUGGCAUAAAUUACUACACAGUAUGAACAGAGACAUAAUGACAUGAUCCAAGCCUCAACACUUUGGCAUUAUACUCCCUGUCAAAGGCAGCACACUAGUCCAGAUGUACUGCUUUAGGAGAGAGGUGUCUCUUAUUACACCCAUAACAAUCUCAGACGGGAUAGUAAUGUCAUGUUGGCCUGUGGCAAGGCUCCUCCAUUGUUCUCCGCGGGAUGUUUAUAGCUUUGUGCCUGAUAUACGAUAACCAAUAAGAAAGAAGUAGUAAUUACAAGGCCCACACUCCGCCGGAUUGCCUGAUGAAUGUGUGAAAUAAAAGAUGGGGGGUUCUUUGCGGAGGCUAGUUAUUACAAAGACAUCCUGCGGUUUGACACACAGCAGUAUUAUGCCAGAGAAAGCUAUGAGGAGAAGAAAUAAAUAGCAUAUCUCCAUUUCUCUGACCAAAUGGCAAAGAAAAUACCAUUGACCCUCUUAAAAUAAAUCAGCUGGAAGCCAACAAAUGUUAAAAUCAAAAUAUAAAAUUGUGCAUAUUCCUAUUAUUUCCCCAUUUUCCAUUCAGGUCUUCAAGAAAUAACACAAUUAGAGGAAAUAAAAACACAUAAAGAAAGUAACCUAAUGUAGGGUCUGUGGAUACAGAGCAGCGGUUUGGUCAGACCAUGUGUCUCCUUAAAAUCCAGAAUCACCAAAUUCAGUGUACCUGGUUGUCUCUCUCUAGGCUAACCCCAGUCAGUAACUGGUGCUCAACUUACCUCAUCAUUUCUACUGGAGAGAGUCUUCACACACAAAAAAAUAUCCGUGAUAAAAUCCACAGCUAUUUCUGUUUCCUUUUACAACUUUUUCAUGGGUAAAAAGCAGUAAAUGUGUUUUUAAAUAUCACUUAUCUGCAUCUGCUGUGUGGCGUCAGGCAGACAGUCUGGACCUGUGAUCUGUGUGUGAGAGCUAGAAAGUCAAGUUUUUCCUCAAAGAAAGUCAUUAAAUGUACAAUUAGACUCCCACACGAUAGAAAUAAUGAACUGACAUUACUUUUAUCAAGUAGCACCAGGUGCCAUUACGUAAUAAUGUGUGAAUUUGAGAGACAUUUUGAGAGGUGUGUAGCUUUUAUUACGGUUUCCAACUGUCUGUUUUUCACUGCGAGGUGAUGCAUCACUUCUAAUAGCUCCCAGUGAUGUAGCUACUCUUUCGAUGCAAGGUCUUUCAUCCAUGGACAGUACACAUCGUACACUAUCAUGCUUCCUUAUUUGAUGAUCACUUUUGAAUAUUUAGCCACAAAUCAGUUUGCUUUACAAGAGUUACUUUACCUCAACCCUCAUUGUUCAAAUCGAAGGUUGAGCUCACAAUUAUGCAACGCGCUGUGAGAGGCAAAUCUCGAUCAAGCGCUCCAACUGUAAGGGUCUCUGUAAUUAAGAUACUAAUGUCUUCUGAUAUGAGCUGCUUACCUUGAAGAAGGCUAUCUCUCUGAUUCUAAUCUGAGGCCUUCUAAGGGCACACUCAGGCUUCUCCGAACCCUCUUCGGUGACCUCUUGUCUUUGAAGUGAGAACUUGAAAACGUUUAAGUUGAAAGCUUGCCUUGCAGUAAUGGAACUUCAGUCAAAGCAUUUCUAUUUGAUUCACCAAAAGCUCGGGCGCUGACGUACAAUAAGAUAUCAUCUCAGAGUCUGGAAUGCAUUUCCUCCCCCGCUCGAUCAGGCUUAAUUUGAAGUUGGAGGAUUUUUUUUUUCUACCUGAAGCCAAAUCUGAUAAAGCUCUACAGCAAACUCUGCCUUCAUCUGGCUCAAUUUGUUGUCAAGAAAGAGCGAGAAAAGAUUUCCCUUCAUAAGGCAGAGUUACUUAUAGUCUGAUAACACAAAUUACAGUAUUUAAAUGUCGGUAUUUUCAUACAUCAUUGAACAACAUCAAAAUAUGAGAUACUUUUUUAAAGGUGUUGUUGUUUGAGGGAAAGAUGCUUAAUUUCCUUACGGGGAGAGGAGAGUAACUAUGUUGAUACCAGUGUGAUUCCUGUUCACUGAGGGCUGGUAAUGCAACUAACCCAACAGAUAUUUCUCACAACUCAUUAUGUAAAAAGUAAACAAGUUUGCUACAACUUGGUAGUGAUUAUAGGUUAUGUUUUGUAGUUGGAUUUUGCCCCCUUCAGACAGACCAGAGAAUCUCCCACAACUUUUUUGGCCUUUUUUAAGUAGCUUUCCAUUUUUCUACUUUACGUGCAAAAGAUUUUCAUGCUUAUAUCUCAGUCAGCAGUGAUUUAAAUGCCAGAAAAAACAAGCUGCUCUUAGAUCAGACAAGUGCAAAACUGCCUUCAGUAGUGUUUUAUCACAGAGGCUAAUAGAGACAGCAUGCAGUUGACAGCCAAUUCAGUCCUGCAGGGCGAGAGGCCAAAAUCCUUGAGUUCCUCCCCUGUUUGAGAAAAGAUCAAAUGCUAAGUGUAACAGCUGUGAAGCUGCAGGCUCUCUCCAUUCAGCCACUAGAUGGAAACAAUAGUCCUCUGCCCUGUACAAUCACUGAUGCACCCAGCAUGCAAUGUCUGGUUUAUUCCCUCCAUCAUACUCAUUCAAAUCCUCCUGUUUUGGUAUACACUGAAUAUGUGUCUUUGUGUUUUUACAGACACCAUCCUUUAAGCGCUCUGCCCUGCUGAAGUGACCUCAAGCGAGGCAGUGAAAACCCUCAACCAGCUUUGUAUUAUGGCACAGAGCUGACCUGCGGGGCUCUAUAAAGUUUCACAUUAUACUGCACGAAAACAUUAGCGGAAAAAUGGUGACAGAGUAAUUAUGAGUCAGCAACAGUAAAACACCACAGGGACUAUCAUUUUACAAGAGGUGCUGGCUUCUUUCUGCCAUUAUGCGGGGUAAAAUAAACUAUUCAGUGUUUGACUCACAGCAGCAGAAGUUUUUUUUUUAAGGUUAAGAUUCAGGGGGGACCUUUUUAGUUUUCUUGAGCAGUUCUUAUAAUGUCAGGGAUUAUAACGUUUUUAUCUGAUGGCUAUUUUCAAGCUGGUUACUGACUGCAAAGGGGAUAGAGAUGACAUGUUGCAUUCACUAAAGUGUUGUUCUAAGGACCACCUAAGCGGAUGCAUAUGUAUCAUAAGUAUUUUCAAAUCACUUUUUAUUCCAGUGCAUUUCAGUUGAACAAAUGUAUCUGAAUUUUGUGUUUCCUUUGCUGAGUGCUGUUUUGAAAAAAAGUUUGAAACACAGUUUUCAGGUUGACACUUAUUUAUUACUCCAAUCUAUAUUAAACUGUGUGAUAAAUCAAAUAUGACAAGACUAUGAAGUAUCUUGCUGCCUAUGGUUAUUCUUCAUGAAUGCUGAGGAGGUUGAAGUACCUAUAGCCUCAUUUGUUGUCAUAAAUGUUCAGGGAGGAAAUGUUAAAGGGC